GUGCCGGUAGUGUAGUGGUAACACAUUGAGUGCGAACGUGAAGAAGGGUGGUUCGAUUCCCUCCUGGUCCA
rnacentral:tRNA from 1 species